GAUGAACGCUGGCGGCGUGCCUAAUACAUGCAAGUCGAGCGAAGCGGGGACGGGUGAGUAACACGUGGAUAACCUCCUAUAAGACUGGGAUCACUUCGGGAAACCGGAUAUAAACCGGAUAAUUCUAGAUGGAACCGCGGUGCAUGAGCGAGUUAGUAAGGUAACGGCAUACCAAGGCAACGCUGCAUAGCCGACCUGAGAGGGUGAUCUGCCACACUGUAACUGAGCCACGGUCCAGACUCCUACGGGAGGCAGAAGUAGGGAAUCUUCCGCAAUUGGCGAAAGCCUGACGGAGCAACGCCGCGUGAGUGAUGAAGGUCUUCGGAUCGUAAAACUCUGUUAUUAGGGAAGCGGUACCUAAUCAGAAAGCCCCGGCUAACUACGUGCCAGCCGCCGCGGUAAUAC
rnacentral:rRNA from 1 species